ensembl:lncRNA
UUUUUUUUUUUUUUUGCAGCCUUCAGUGACCUGUGUCGUAUGUUAAAGUCACCAUGUUUGCCCCCUGUAGUACAAAUAUACCAGAAAGAGUGAUAGGAAACAGCAUAUUCCCCCCUUGUUCAGAUUUUUCUCAGUAUGACAUUAUCUUGGAAAAAGAAAGGCCACAUUUGCAAACUUGGAAGAAAGUUCCCCCUGGAGUUUUUUCUCUGUCCUGUUUCAGUAUGUAUUGACACUCAGAACCUGGGCUGCUAUGACAUCCGUUUUCUGGGUCACUUUGUCCCUGAGUCAUUGUCAUCCUGUAACUUUCUGAAAACAUUUGACUAUGCCAUUUACCAGUUAAUUUCAGUGAAUAGCUUAAAUCAUAGUAAAAUGUUAGGACCAGAGUAAAUUUAGGUCAGAUUGAUUUUAUUUCCCCAGAUUAAGAAAGUGAGCCAAGUUGUUGUGACAAUUUCAUAGUUUCCUUCAUUACAUUUUUUGGAGCUUUACUUAACCGUAAGAUGAAUCAUCCAUAAAUUGACCCCCACAAAGCUGUGGCUUAGAUGUUCAUCACUCUUUUCUGUCAUUUGUUGCUUUCAGGAUAACACGCAAGGAAAUAUGGGCCAACUCUUCACAUGAGCACAAGAUAUUUCCAUGCUAGCCUUUUGCAAGUAACAGCAGAGACAGCUCUGUGCCGUUUUCACUGGAAUGCCUAUCAAUUACUUGAGUCAUAAUUGUAAUCUAAAGACUUGUCCAUUUGUUGACUCUUUUGUAUUUGUAUUGGUAGAACUGCCACUAUCAAAACCAAGAUCACUCUUUGGGAAGAUCUUUAGCUGUCUUUAUAUCAACUUCUCUGGAGUUUAUGUGAUUUUCCAGAAAAUUCCCAAAGCAUAGUUUUGUCCCUAAGUCCCAUGAAUAUGUAAUAUUUUGUGUCUCUCUAUUAAAAUAGCACUUUUUGUGCAUUCAAUUAACCAACAUAUGUGUAUGUGUCUGUGUGUGGACAAACAUAUCAAUUACUUCACCCACUUUAGUGGGAAAAAUAAUUUUCUCUGAGUUUCUGGAAUACCAGAUAGUGAGUAAGUUCUUUAAUGGAAUAUCAAUGUUUAAUUAUAUUCUAUAAAGCUCACAAUCUAGAAACCCAAGACAAGGGGGUGGCGGAUAUUCCUAAUUCAUUUUCUAAUAUGUUUAGAUAAUAGGCUUCAUUAUCUAUCUAUCUAUCUAUCUAUCUAUCUAUCUAUCUAUCUAUGUAAAUAUCUUGCACAUUUUUAAAUUUUGCACAAGAAAAUGCAAAACUUUUUAAAAAUAUUAACAUCUAUUCACAUACUUUUACGUCUGUGGACACCAUCGGUGGGAUUUUACAAGUAAGUAAAUUUUUCUGACAACUGGAAACUCUGUAAGAAAGAAGCAGUACAUUUUACAUCCUGGUAAUGUUGUCUCUUAUUUUUCAGGUACCUAAUAAGUGUUAUGCCACAGUGAAGUUUCUUCUCUGACUUGGGAUUAAAAGGUUGAACACAGAGACACAGAGAGGUUCACUGACAAGGGGCCAAAUCCCAGUGUUCUCUGACAUAGAAGAGGAAUCCUUUAAGUUACUCAUUCAAUACCCCGUAAGAAUCUCCACCUCGAAUGUUGGAGUCUAUAUGAGGCUGGCUUCUUGUAUUUUUACACAUUCUUUUGGUGCUAACAUGUUCAUUCUAACUGUAUUAGCUUUCAAUUGCUGCUGCAACAAGUUACCACACAUUUGGUAGUUUAAACCACACAAAUUUAAUGUCUUACACUUUUGGCAGUCAGGAGGCUGCUACAAGUCUCACUGGGCUAAAUUCUAGGUGU